GCACUGGGGGGUAAGACGAGGGAUCCUAGCGUUGUUCGGAAUCAUUGGGCGUAAAGCGGAUGUAGGUGGCUUUGUAAGUCAGAUGUGAAAGCCCAGGGCUCAACCCNGGAAGUGCAUUUGAUACUGCGAAGCUUGAGUGUUGGAGAGGUUACUAGAAUUGUUGGUGUAGUGGUGAAAUACGUAGAUAUCAACAGGAAUACCGGAGGCGAAGGCGGGUAACUGGCCGAACACUGACACUGAGAUCCGAAAGCGUGGGGAUCAAACAGGAUUAGAUACCCUGGUAGUCCACGCCGUAAACGAUGGAUACUUGUUGUUGGAGGUAUUGACCCCUUCAUGU
rnacentral:rRNA from 1 species